ACUGCGGUAGGGGUCUGAUGAAGCGUGUGAGGUCUGGAAGGGAGCUGGCAGCCGAGAUGGGCGUCUCUCCU
rnacentral:SRP_RNA from 1 species